GGGGAUCUAGCAAUCUGGUGAAUGCUCGGAACUCAUAAUUCCGCUAAGGUGAGUUCGAUCCUCACGAUCCCCA
rnacentral:tRNA from 1 species